rnacentral:rRNA from 1 species
GACGAACGCUGGCGGCGUGCUUAACACAUGCAAGUCGAACGGUGAAGCGCUUUCCUUUUUGGUGGGUGUGGAUGCGUGGGGAACGGGUGAGUAACACGAGCGUAACCUGCCCUUUUCUUCUGGAUAACCGCAUGAAAGUGUGGCUAAUACGGGAUAUUCUGGGUCUGUCGCAUGAUGGGUCUGGGACAGCUAUUGUUUCGGUGGGGGAUGGGCUCGCGGUCUAUCUGCUGGUUGGUGGGGUGAUGGCCUACCAAGGCGGUGGCGGGUAGCCGGCCUGGGAGGGUGGACGGUCACAGUGGGACUGCGACACGGCCCGGACUCCGACAAGACGCAGCGGUGGAUAGUAGUGCACAGUGGGCACCAGCCUGAUGCAGCGGCGCCGCGGGAGGGAUGGAGGCCUGCGGGUUAUGAACCUCUUUCGCCAGUGAAGCGGGCCUGCCUCGUUUGUGGGUGGGUUGACGGUAGCUGGAUAAGAAGCACCGGCUAACUACGUG